rnacentral:rRNA from 1 species
GCAGUCACGGGGGCCCGCAAGGGUAACCGGCGAACGGGUGCGUAACACGUGAGCAAUCUGCCGUCCACUGGGGGAUAGCCGGCCCAACGGCCGGGUAAUACCGCAUACGCUUGCCGGGUGGCAUCACUUGGCAAGGAAACCUCCGGGGGUGGACGAGGAGCUCGCGGCCUAUCAGCUAGUUGGUGGGGUAAUGGCCUACCAAGGCAGUGACGGGUAGCUGGUCUGAGAGGAUGGCCAGCCACAUUGGGACUGAGAUACGGCCCAGACUCCUACGGGAGGCAGCAGUGGGGAAUAUUGCGCAAUGGCCGCAAGGCUGACGCAGCGACGCCGCGUGGGGGAUGAAGCAUUUCGGUGUGUAAACCCCUGUUGCUCGGGACGAACAUCCUGUUUCGACAGGACUGACGGUACCGAGUGAGGAAGCACCGGCUAACUCCGUGCCAGCAGCCGCGGUAGUACGGAGGGGU